UGGGCUCCCCAGCACAUGAGAGACAUGGACCUGCUGCACUGAGUCAUGCAAAAGGUCACAAAGGUGAUUCAGGGCCGUAUAAGCAGAGGCUGAGAGUUGGGCUUAUUCAGCCUGGAGAAGAGAAGGCUGAAGAGGACCUUAUCAGUGUUUAUAAAUAUCUGACUGGAGGGGAGAGGGGAGUAAGGAAGAUGGGCCAGACCCUUCUCGGUGGUGGUGCCCAGUGACACCACCAGAGGCAAUGGCCAUAAACAGAAAUGUAGGAAAUUCUGUGUGAACAAAAGAAAUAACUUUUUUACAGUUCAGUGGUCAAACACUGGAGCAAGUUGCCCAGAGAGGUUGUAGAAUCUCCGUCCUUGGAACUAUUAGAAACCUGACUGGAUGCAGCCCUGAGGAAACUCCUUUAUUUGCCCCUGCUUUGACCGAGGAUUGGACCAGAUGGUCCCAAAAAUGCUCAACCGUUCUGUGAUUCUGUGGAGUGGGCACACCUGUGCAUUUAUACAUCUGUGAACACACAGGCAUCAGCAUCUUGCUCCCAUUGCUUCUUCUCUCCUCUGAUGGUGUUUAAGCCCUUUUGAACAGCAGCCCAUGGAAGAGGAUGGGUGGACAGAUUGUCUAUUAAAACAGGACCAAAGCCAUAAGAAUAACAGCAUGAGAACAAUGCGAGAACAACUGACAACAGAGGAAAACAGCUGUCCCAGAAGAGCUGGAAAACACUCUUAUGGCAGCUUAGGAGAAAAGAACAUUGUACCUUGACAAGCACUGUGGUUUCCCAUCUCUGUCAAUGGGUUCAGCAAGUGACUCAGAGUGACACAUAAAUGAACAGUCAGCGCCGCUCCCUGCAGUGUCUGGCCAUUCAGAGAACUCCCUCACCACCCAUACAUCUUUGUGGUUUGAGAAGUCUGACAAGAUUGCCAUCAAAAGUGGAAAAUUCGGGAAAGCCCAACUCUGUUUUGACAUCAGCCACUGGUUUAAAAUGCCAAAGCACAGAGAAAGCAAAACCACGAAGAUACAGGAACUGCAACGCAACUGUUGUCAAGUGUUAAUACAUGCAUAUUGAACCACCACAUCCUGAAUGUGAUAAGCACCUGCCAGGAUCUGCUCCAGGACUCACCAGAGCUGUCCCUAAUGAGACCUGAUUUGCUCUUGAGUGUGUCUGUUCCCUGUGGAUGCUGGAGAGUCCCCCCACAGAUGGUGCAGAGGAUGCUCUUGUGUCUGGAGCCACGUGUGCUACGUCUCAUCUUCACAUGGAGUACCUAUCUGCCAGAGUAGAGUUGGCAAAGGUCUCAUCCCUUCAGAGCAAAGGAGCCCACAGGCAGCCUGAGCCUGGUAAUGCUCCACUGCCAGCACUUCUUACUCAGCAGGAUCAGCCAAAAGCCUCAACAGCAUCCUGCUUUAUCGUUCACCUUUAUGCUUAGUCUUAAAAGAUUGACAAGACUGAGAUGUGAUGGCUUCACUGCACCCCUAAGUGAAGAAAAGACAAUGACUUCUUUCAAAUGAGUCCUGCUGAAGGUCCAGCUUGCAAAUGGACUGACGUGGGGCUUUAGCUGAGGCAUCUGAUUAAGACUGGUCACCAAGUCCUUCAGUGAUGGAGUCAGUGCCAAGUCAGCACCAAGUCAGUGCUGAAGAGGGAGAGGGAAAAAACAUGACAAGCUGUAUCUAUUACAGUCGGUUUCAAAUGAAUGUCUUACCUUUAAUCACAAAUAGUCAGUGUCUGAUCUAGUCUCCAAACAGGAAACUUCCUUCUCUUUUCCAAAAUGUUACUGAUGACAAACUGUCAUUAGAGAGCCUUGCUAGCUAUAGAAUUGGCAAGGUCUCUUUGAUUUGAU